rnacentral:rRNA from 1 species
GACGAACGCUGGCGGCGUGCCUAAUACAUGCAAGUCGAACGCUGAAGGAGGAGCUUGCUUCUCUGGAUGAGUUGCGAACGGGUGAGUAACGCGUAGGUAACCUGCCUGGUAGCGGGGGAUAACUAUUGGAAACGAUAGCUAAUACCGCAUAACAGUAGAUAUCGCAUGAUAUCUACUUGAAAGGUGCAAUUGCAUCACUACCAGAUGGACCUGCGUUGUAUUAGCUAGUUGGUGAGGUAACGGCUCACCAAGGCGACGAUACAUAGCCGACCUGAGAGGGGGGUCGGCCACACUGGGACUGAGACACGGCCCAGACUCCUACGGGAGGCAGCAGUAGGGAAUCUUCGGCAAAGGACGGAAGUCUGACCGAGCAACGCCGCGGGAGUGAAGAAGGGUGUCGGAUCGGAAAGCUCUGUUGUAAGAGAAGAACGAGUGUGAGAGUGGAAAGUUCACACUGUGACGGUAGCUGACCAGAAAGGGACGGCUAACUACGUG